UACGGGGGGGGCAAGCGUUGUUCGGAAUUACUGGGCGUAAAGGGCUCGUAGGUGGCCAACUAAGUCAGACGUGAAAUCCCUCAGCUUAACUGGGGAACUGCGUCUGAUACUGGAUGGCUUGAGAUUGGAAGAGGGAUGCGGAAUUCCAGGUGUAGCGGUGAAAUGCGUAGAUAUCUGGAGGAACACCGGUGGCGAAGGCGGCAUCCUGGACCAACACUGACACUGAGGAGCGAAAGCCAGGGGAGCAAACGGG
rnacentral:rRNA from 1 species